UGCGCAAAGCGUCCCUCACCUGUGACGUCACAGCGUCAUCCGCCGCCAGGAACAUCAACAAAGCGGUCAGUUUGUGGUCCGUGCAGUCAGCAAGAAGACAAACGCUUCAUGCAAUCACGCAAAUAUUAUCAUGAUUUUGAUGCUGCAAACCGGAGAUGCAUAGCUGCGGAAGACACGUCUGAAGUGGAAACUUAAAACGAAGCUUCAGAUAUGAAGCAAAGAAUGCCAAGAAUAACAAAUAUAAGAGAUUCCAGAUCGUUCCAGAUUUCCGAAGUACUGAAACGCACACCAUACAGGCUUGGUG